rnacentral:rRNA from 1 species
GGCGGACGGGUGAGUAUCGCGUAGGGAUUUAUCGUUGGGUGGGGGAUAACCUUGGGAAACUGGGGCUAAUACUGCAUGACGCCUUUUGGCCAAAGCCUGAGAGGGCGCCUGACGAGGAGCCUGCGUCCGAUUAGCUAGUUGGUAGGGUAAAGGCUUACCAAGGCGAUGAUCGGUAGCUGGUCUGAGAGGAUGAUCAGCCACACUGGGACUGAGACACGGCCCAG